rnacentral:rRNA from 1 species
GUAAGUUAAGUGGUAAAGGAUGUGGGAUUGCACAGACAACCAGGAUGUUGGCUUAGAAGCAGCCACUCAUUCAAAGAGUGCGUAAUAGCUCACUGGUCGAGUGAUCCUGCGCCGCAGAUUUCCGGGGCUAAAACUUACUACCGAAGCUACGGCAUCAGUAAUGAUGGGUUGGGGAGCUUCCCAUACGGGGUGCAGCAUGACCGUAAGGACAUGAGGACAGUAUGGGAGUGAGAAUGUUGGGAUGAGUAGCGAGAUGUGGGGGAGAAUCCCACAGGCCGUAA